UACGUAGGGCGCAAGCGUUGUCCGGAAUUACUGGGCGUAAAGAGCUCGUAGGCGGUUUGUCGCGUUGUCCGUGAAAACUCACAGCUCAACUGUGGGCGUGCGGGCGAUACGGGCAGACUGGAGUACUGCAGGGGAGACUGGAAUUCCUGGUGUAGCGGUGGAAUGCGCAGAUAUCAGGAGGAACACCGGUGGCGAAGGCGGGUCUCUGGGCAGUAACUGACGCUGAGGAGCGAAAGCGUGGGGAGCGAACAGG
rnacentral:rRNA from 1 species